rnacentral:rRNA from 1 species
UACGUAGGGGGCGAGCGUUAUCCGGAAUUACUGGGCGUAAAGCGCACGCAGGCGGUUCGCCAAGUUUGGAGUGACAGUUGUCGGCUCAACCGACAAAGGACUUCAAAAACUGGUGAACUUGAGGACGAGAGAGGAACAUGGAACUCCAGGUGUAGUAGUGAAAUGCGUAGAUAUCUGGAAGAACACCAAUGGCGAAGGCAAUGUUCUGGCUCGUUUCUGGCGCUCAGGUGCGAAAGCCAGGGGAGCGAACGGG